rnacentral:lncRNA from 1 species
GAAGAAGGGUCAGAGUCAGAGAUUUGAAGAUGCUACAGCUGGUGGCUUUUAAGGUGGAGGAAAGGGCCUCGGACCAAGGAAUGCCGGCCUGUUGUUGUAGUUAGUGCCCCCUAGUCAAUUCUGACUCCUAGUGACCCUGUGUACAGCAGAGCUGAAGCCUGCAUGGUCUUUUUGUGCCAUCCCUCUCACCUUCCAGCUCUAUAUCAGACAAUGUUCUGCUGCUAUCCAUAAGGUUUUCAUGGCCACUUUUUUCAAACGUGGGUGGCCAGGUCCUUCUUCCUACUCUAGCUCAGUCUAGAAACUCAACUGAAAUCUGAAACCUGUACUGGUAGCAUAGCUUUCAGCAACACACGGCUGCCACAGUAUGACAGCCCACAGAUGAGUAGUGUGACUCCCUGACUGGGAAAUGAAAACCCAGCUGUGGCGAUGAGACUGCUGAAUCUUAACCACCAGACCAUUAGGACUGGCAGGCAACCUGUAGAAGCUGGAAAAUGCAAGGAAACUGAUUCUCCUGUAGAGCCUCCAGAAGGAAUUCCACCUGGCUGACACCUUGAUUUUAGCCCAGGAAGACCCAUUCCGGCUUUCUGACCUCCACAACUGCGAGAAGAUAAACAGGAAACUGAGGCUCAAUGAAGAGAAGUGAUUUGCACAAGGUCAACUAAUAAAGCAUUAUGUGUCACUUCCAACUUUAAAGAGAAAUAGAAGCCACCAGGCAGUGCACAUCAGACUUCACUACUGGAUUGCAGAUGACUGUUGUCACCUUGAGAAACUAUUAAAUUAAUCAAUUUCUCCCCAAGGCUAGUGAACUUGGGCAAGAAGAAUGAGAAGAAAAAGAAAAGAAAUGAUGCAGGGAGACUGUCAAGCAAACCACCUCGUUCAUACAUUUUGCUAAGUUUGAUCAUCAACCUAUUACACAUAUCGUGGUUCCAUUUGGAGUAAAGAAGGGUCAUGUGGUAGGGUGAAAGAGAGGAGGGGAAUACUCUUCACCAUUAGUCUUUAUAUUUACCUAAUGCAAGCAGGGAGAGAUCCUGCAAUUUUUCAUAUUUCUUUUCUUAUGCCAUUGUUACGUCCCAUGCCUUGUCAUUUUUUGAGACUUAUGGGAGUGAAAUAAGACUAAAUAAAUUGUCUUCUAUAUUCCAUUCCCUACUUUUCAAAAAUCAGGAUCCCGUUAUUGAAAUACUAUCCAAUAGAGUGAUUCUAGAGUCUGCUUUUUGUAGUUUUACCAACGCUCAUUGCUGGGAAAUUCUUUUUUUGUCCAUCUUUAUUGCUUUCCUAUGACACUAGAUAGAAGCAUCAUAAAGCUUAACCAUUAUUGAUUUAUCUGAUAUAAAAUAAGAGUUGAAGUGUUCCCCCAAAUUUUGUCAAAAAGUCGUAUCUGCAUUCUUGCAAAGUAACACUGUCAGAAAUCACAUUCAGGUGUUCCACAUAGUGACUGCUGUUGUUGCUACCAUACUGUAUGCCUGCGUGUU